UACGUAGGGGGCAAGCGUUGUCCGGAUUUAUUGGGCGUAAAGAGCGUGUAGGCGGUUUGGUAGGUCCGUUGUGAAAACUCGAGGCUUAACCUCGAGAUGUCGGCGGAAACCAUCUGGCUAGAGUCCGGAAGAGGAGAGUGGAAUUCCUGGUGUAGCGGUGAAAUGCGCAGAUAUCAGGAAGAACACCCGUGGCGAAGGCGGCUCUCUGGGACGGUACUGACGCUGAGACGCGAAAGCGUGGGGAGCGAACAGG
rnacentral:rRNA from 1 species